GGAGACUCUGUGCGCGUGCAUAUCAAUAAGCGGAGGAAAAGAAACUAACAAGGAUUCCCUUAGUAACGGCGAGUGAAGCGGGAAGAGCUCAAAUUUGAAAUCUUCAAGGUUCUACCUUGACGAAUUGUAGUUUAUAGAAGUGUUUUCUGUUAGUAGAGUGGCAAAAGUUCUUUGGAAUAGGACAUCAUAGAGGGUGAGAAUCCCGUAUUUGGUCAUUCCUUCCUAGCUUUGUGAUACACUUUCAACGAGUCGGAUUGUUUGGGAAUGCAGUCCAAAAUGGGUGGUAAAUUUCAUCUAAAGCUAAAUAUUGGCGAGAGACCGAUAGCGAACAAGUACCGUGAGGGAAAGAUGAAAAGAACUUUGAAAAGAGAGUUAAACAGUACGUGAAAUUGUCAAAAGGGAAGCGUUUGACACCAGUGUUGUUUUUCCGAAAAUCAAUUACGAAUGUUUUGUUUUUGAGGAGUUAUGACUUCAUCGGCUUGCUCCUUUCUUUAUGAAACUUUCUUAAUGCACUUUUCGGUUAACAAGUCAACAUCAAUUUCUUUUGUUGUAAAAGGGUAUGAGGAAGGUGGCUUUCUUUUCGGAGAAAGUGUUUAUAGCCUUGUGCCUCUGCAAUCGGAGAGAUUGAGGUCUGCAGCGUAGAUCCUUCGGGGUUAGAUACGUUUGUGCUAAGUUAUAGCUUUUCAUAGACAACUUGUUGACUAUGUUUAGUCUCGUAGCUUACUCGCUGACGCUAUUUUACCUACGCUUAGGAUGUUGACAGCAGUAUAGACUGU
rnacentral:rRNA from 1 species